ACUGGAGUUUGAUCCUGGCUCAGAUUGAACGCUGGCGGAAUGCUUUACACAUGCAAGUCGAACGGUAGAGGGGGCAACCCCUUGAGAGUGGCGAACGGGUGAGUAAUAUAUCGGAACGUGCCCAGUCGUGGGGGAUAACGUAGUGAAAAUUACGCUAAUACCGCAUACGAUCUAAGGAUGAAAGCGGGGGAUCGCAAGACCUUGCGCGAUUGGAGCGGCCGAUAUCAGAUUAGGUAGUUGGUGAGGUAAGGCUCACCAAGCCAACGAUCUGUAGCUGGUCUGAGAGGACGACCAGCCACACUGGAACUGAGACACGGUCCAGACUCCGUACGGGAGGCAGCGA
rnacentral:rRNA from 1 species